rnacentral:sRNA from 1 species
AUGUAAGAAUUUCAAGGCCACAACUCCAUAUUUGAAGUAAAGUGCUCAUAAAAUUAAUUGCAAGGUUUUGAGAAGCCAUCUGCAGCUCACAACUAGAUGAGUGACACAAUCAGAUAAAAAAGCCUAGAGACAUUGAACUAAGAUCAAAUUAAAUGUAUUAAAUAUGGUAGAAAGAAGAGAGAAUGAAAAAUAAUGUUAACAAUCUAGGUGAGGAAUUGCUGAGGAGACAAAUUAAGUAAAUCCUGUGGAAGGAAAGAAGAAAGGAGGAAAGAGGAUUGGAUGGAAGAAUCUCCACUUCUCAUAGGUGUAGUCCUUCCUUAGCCUGCUUUUUAAUGACUGCUGCUAAAGCCCUUAGCCUGCCUGUUUACCCUUGGAGUGGAGCAAUGAACUGAAGAUAUUUGAGUGAGUUCAAGAGAGACUCAGAAGAGAAGAAUUGGAGGCAGCAAACAUAGACAGCACUUUUAAUGCUUUUCUCAUAUGCUGUAAGACAUGAAAGCAAUCUAUUGGGAUGAAAGCUGAAAGGAGAAGCGGGACAAGAGAAGUGAAUCCGUGGAAGACCCCCAAAAGAGGCUGCAGAUUCUUGGUGGACAGCUCUCAUAUCCCCUCCAGGGAAAAUGAUGAAAAAUGUCUUCAGAAAAAUAGCUUUAUGAAGGCAAGAGGACUUUUUGCACCUGCAAGACAUGUCUGAAAGCUCCACAGGUCAAAACACAAGUAGUCAAGAGAUUUGUCCAUCUAAUUCAUCAUACUACUCUGAUCCAAGUGAGACCCACACUGGGUCAGCUCCAUCAAGGAGAAGAACAUUCCACCCACGUUUGGAUUCUGGAAUAUCAUCCUUGCUUCCAUCAGAUUCUUGUAAGUACCUCACUUGGCACAAGAUAGAACAACAUGGCGUUCAAGAAAGUCAACUGCGUUGCCCAAGAGUAAGAGAAGGACCCUCUGAAGAAGAGCAACUUUUCAGACAGGUAGAGUGUGCCUUGCUCCCAAGGAAAAGAGUUCUUGAAAAAAACAAAUGGGAAACAUGGCUACAAGAAAACUGGGAAGACUGCAAGAAAAUCUCAGAAUCUGCUUGAGAAUCCUGUCCUUCUUCCUCCAUACACCCAUGGAACACUCCCAAACUCUGUAUGCUGCUCACUAAUUCUGAUUAAGGUCUUCACCCUCCCUACCUUGGAAAUUGCUACAACAUAAUUGUGUUUAAUUUGAACAUUUCAUUUCAGGAUUUGGGGGAUCCUUACCAGGUUGAAAAUUUUAACAGAAUUCUUAGAAGACUAAUUCGAGUUGAAACCCCCUGUUACCAAAGAUACCUCAGAUACAGCAUUUAUCCUUGGCCGAAAACCACAUUGAGACUCUUACUGGAUUCUCCAGUUUACGGUGCACUCCACUGGAAUCCCUUAUUCUCAAGAGGAACCCUUAGUAUUCUCCUGUUUGCCAAACUUAAAAAUGCUGGAUGGAAUCUUGAAGCUACCAGAAGAUUGCUUAUCACCAGAAACCAAUAUUUUUUCAAAAAUAUGCCUUGUAUCCUAAUGCAGUCUGUAUAGAAAGAAAGCAAUCAUCAUUUUUGCUAAAAGCUAAUAAACACAGGACAUGCAUGAUU